GCCGAAGUGGUGGAAUUGGCAGACGCGCUAGAUUCAGGGUCUAGUGAGCGUUACGCUCGUGCAGGUUCAAGUCCUGUCUUCGGCACCA
rnacentral:tRNA from 1 species